CAAAAGCUUGGUCCUGACUUUACUAUCAACUUUAGCAACACUUACACAUGCAAGUAUCCGCACCCCAGUGAAAAUGCCCCCGCCUUCCUCAAGAAAAAAAGGAGCUGGUAUCAGGCACGCAUAGCAGCCCACGACACCUUGCUCAGCCACACCCCCAAGGGAUCUCAGCAGUGAUAAACAUUAAGCAAUAAGUGUAAACUUGACUUAGUUAAAGCUAAAAGGGCCGGUUAAACUCGUGCCAGCCACCGCGGUUAUACGAGAGGCCCAAGUUGACAGUCUUCGGCGUAAAGCGUGGUUAAAGAUAAACUAAACUAAGGCUAAACUUCCCCAAAGCUGUCAUACGCACCCGGGAGCAUGAGACCCAACCACGAAAGUGGCCUUAACACCCCCCCCCCCUUGAACCCACGAAAGCUAUGAGACAAACUGGGAUUAGAUACCCCACUAUGCUCAGCCAUAAACUUCGAUAGAAAUCUACAAUCUCUAUCCGCCUGGGAACUACGAGCAUGAGCUUAAAACCCAAAGGACUUGGCGGUGCUUUAGACCCCCCUAGAGGAGCCUGUUCUAGAACCGAUAACCCCCGUUUGACCUCACCUUUUCUUGUCCACCCCGCCUAUAUACCGCCGUCGUCAGCAUACCCUGUGAAGGAAACAUAGUAAGCAAAACUGGUAAAACCCAAAACGCCAGGUCGAGGUGUAGCGCACGAAAAGGAAAGAAAUGGGCUACAUUUCCUCCCCCAGGAAAUACGAAUUGUGCCAUGAAACAACACAUGAAGGAGGAUUUAGCAGUAAGCAGAAAACAGAGCGUUCCGCUGAACCUGGCCCUGAAGCGCGCACACACCGCCCGUCACUCUCCCCAAGUCUACAAACAUUGAUAAUUAAAACCCUACAAAGACAAAGGGGAGGCAAGUCGUAACAUGGUAAGUGUACCGGAAGGUGCACUUGGAAAAAC
rnacentral:ncRNA from 1 species